GACGAACGCUGGCGGCGCGCCUAACACAUGCAAGUCGAACGAGCGAGAGGGAGCUUGCUUUCUCGAGCGAGUGGCGAACGGGUGAGUAACGCGUGAGGAACCUGCCUCAAAGAGGGGGACAACAGUUGGACACGACUGCUAAUACCGCAUAAGCCCACGGUGCCGCAUGGCACAGAGGGAAAAGGAGCAAUCCGCUUUGAGAUGGCCUCGCGUCCGAUUAGCUAGUUGGUGAGGUAAUGGCCCACCAAGGCGACGAUCGGUAGCCGGACUGAGAGGUUGAACGGCCACAUUGGGACUGAGACACGGCCCAGACUCCUACGGGAGGCAGCAGUGGGGAAUAUUGCACAAUGGGGGAAACCCUGAUGCAGCGACGCCGCGUGGAGGAAGAAGGUCUUCGGAUUGUAAACUCCUGUUGUUGGGGAAGAUAAUGACGGUACCCAACAAGGAAGUGACGGCUAACUACGUG
rnacentral:rRNA from 1 species